AGUAACACGUGGGUAACCUGCCUUAUAGUGGGGGAUAGCCUUUCGAAAGGAAGAUUAAUACCGCAUAAGAUUGUAGUAUCGCAUGAUAUAGCAAUUAAAGGAGCAAUUCGCUAUAAGAUGGACCCGCGUCGCAUUAGCUAGUUGGUGAGGUAAUGGCUCACCAAGGCGACGAUGCGUAGCCGACCUGAGAGGGUGGUCGGCCACAUUGGGACUGAGACACGGCCCAGACUCCUACGGGAGGCAGCAUG
rnacentral:rRNA from 1 species